UACGAAGGGGGCUAGCGUUGUUCGGAAUUACUGGGCGUAAAGCGCACGUAGGCGGAUUUGUAAGUCAGGGGUGAAAUCCCGGGGCUCAACCUCGGAACUGCCUUUGAUACUGCAAGUCUCGAGUCCGAUAGAGGUGAGUGGAAUUCCUAGUGUAGAGGUGAAAUUCGUAGAUAUUAGGAAGAACACCAGUGGCGAAGGCGGCUCACUGGAUCGGUACUGACGCUGAGGUGCGAAAGCG
rnacentral:rRNA from 1 species